GUAAACCUUCUAGAAACAAAUCUUCCUCUUUCAUCACUUCUCUCUCAGUUAUCCAAAACUCAUCUCUCUUUUCUUUUUUCUUCCGAGUUCUGCAACUCUUCUCCAUCUAUCUUCAUCUCCUCCAAGAAAUUAGAAUUUGAAACCCAACUUCAACAAUAAUAGUGAAAUAGAAGAAUCAAGAUAAUCAUCGUUAUUUUUUAUGAUAUUCCCAAACCCUUUCUUCAUCUCCUCUACCGAAGUUUCUUUAUCACCUACACAACGAAAACCCUAUCUUCUAAAUUAUGUGCACCGUCAUUAAACAAACCCUUUACUCCACCUCGUUCUUAUUGAUGUCUUCUAUUAAUUUUUUCGUUUUCUGGAAACAGAAACAGAACCAUUUCUUAGAUCUGUAACUAAUUUCUUAGAUUUGUAACAUGUAAUCUCAAUUGUGAACCAUUAUUAAAUCCAUUUUUUUUUUUUGCUUUUAUCUGUUAGGGUUCUAAAAACUAUUCUUCUAUUUCGUUAACGGAACCCCCUUUUAUUUCAACAUCAGUAGUAUAUCAGAGAAGAGUACCACAAAAAUCAGAGAAGAUGUUCUGGUUAUUAUCAUUGGAUUUAUUUGUGUUAUGUUUUAUUCAAAGUAAUACAUCUACAAAGCAGCCAUCAGGGAUCAGCUGGAACACAUGAUUCUUGGGGACCUCAAAUUAAGGGUCUUACUUGAGACACCAAAUGAUGAGAUGAACAUCAUUAGAAACGAUUCAUUUCGUUUAUUGAUGAUCUCAGUAGAGUAAAAAAUGGAAUUGACUAUUGAGGUUUGUGCAUUUGAUAAUUGUGGAAUGGGCUAGAGUUCGAUACCCACUAGAAAAUCUGAACACAUGGUAAUUUCUAUCACCCCCUCUUGUGAAUUCAAUUUGAUUUUUAUUAGGUACACAAAAAUAGUGUGAUUUUCACUCAUUUUUUGAAAAUUGGUGUAAUGAUACAUGAUAACAAUAUGGCAAAAGAUGCAUUGGCAUUAAUUGAUCAUUUAGGUUGGGGUAAAGCUCAUGCUUUCAAUCAUUUAAGUUGACAACCCCCUUAUUUUCAUUUAGAUAACUUGUGGUAUAAUCUCUGCUCAGGGAAUGUUGAAAUUCUUCAAAUGGGUUUCUUGGUAUGAAACUCAAAUUGGAAUUUCAUAUUCUCCCAAUUAUGGAGCUCAUGGUCUGAAAUAUUUUUGUUAGUCCUAUUUUCUGUAGGCAUGCUUCGUAUGAUUUGGUUGCUCUGAGUUUUGGAGAUGCUUUAGAUUGAGACCGUAUGUUAUGUUCCAGUUGUACUGAAGAAUUUGUGACUUAUUGGACUUUUGGUUUUGUAAAUAUAGAAUUUGUGAUUGAUAAGUUACAUUAUUUCAUGGAAUUCCUCAUGUGGUCAUUUAAUUUGCAUCCAAGUGAUGAUAUGAAAAUCCUAACUAUUUCUUCUUAUCUGAUAUAUGAUAUCGGGCAUGCCAAGCUUGCAGGUUUGCUUCCACAUUACAGGUUAUGUAAGUUUCAUUUUUCUUUUCCUUGACUCGUUUAAAGUUAAUCAACAUCUGAGUUGUUUUAUUGUUCUUAUGUCUUAUUGGAUAUGUUAUUUGUAUUGGUUUCUGUUUAUCUUGCAAUGCCACAGACUCCCGUUUCACUCCAUCCUUGAUUGACAGGGGAUAUCGCGAUUGGACCCCUAAUGGAAGAGAAAGUUGAGGUGGAGGAUAUUGUUGCAGAAUCGAUUCUGGAUAUUGUCCACGAAAAAUAUGCUCACUACAAGAAAACUGAGCUUGUCGAAUCUGCUUAUGAUUCUGUGUUGGGUCAUCUAGUUAGAGCCAUUUGCUGGUUAUUAUGGAGUCAUUGGUUACCACAUAAAAAUAAAUGGCAUUGUUCUAAACUUCACCGAUUUCCAACUGUACUUAUUUCAGGUACCCAUACAAAGCUAUUUUUGCGCUCACUUCUAAUGGAUAUGCUCUUCUUUUAGAAAGAAUUCCAUGGUCGGAGACGAAGAAGGGACAAAAGAGAUAGCACCAGGGAAGAUGAAAGUCCAGUUUUCAUGCAGGUGUAUCCUGGAAUGAAAAUAACUAGCGAUCGGUAUUGCAAUUGAGAGCACAAGGUUGAAAAAACUUUAGAAAGUUAUUACGAAUUUGUUUUGUUAUGUAUAAACAAUUGAAGUGGGUGUAUAUUCAAGUUUUCAUAUAUUGUGAACUUGGGUAGUAGUUAGAAAUUGAAGUGUAAAUUGAAUCUAGCUUUUAAUGUAAAUAUUUACUUUGUUUCCAUAUUAAUUUGGGUUUCAAUUU